AGUCAAAGCCCCUCCCCCAGCCCCCAGUGGCUCAAGCCCGACUGGCAGCCAUGGAAACGGGGCAGGAAUGUUUCCCGGCUGCAGGCUCUGGCCGGGAAGCCUGAGACUGCCCUGCCGCCCCCGCAACAUCCAGCCACUACACCUCAUGCCUAUCUUUCUCAUGAUACCAUUCUGGCCGAAGACCUUACCAAAGGUCAGGCUAAGUGAAACAGAGGGCUUGGUGUUGGUAAGCCACGAGUACCCCAGCAGGUCAGAGCUUCCUUCUUGAGGAAAACAGGCUAAGAGGUGACUUUUUCAUCCUCAACCAGUCACCUGGACUAGUGAUCAGAAGCCUGCAAAGCAUGGCCAAGCAGAAGGUCUACUGAAAAGCCAGGAGCUUAUCACCUCAGUCCUGGGGGCAUUUACUGCAUGGGCCAUUCACCUAUUUCUUUGAAGGAAGUUCUGUAUCUUCAAGCAACAGAGGCACUAGGAGAGA
rnacentral:lncRNA from 1 species